rnacentral:misc_RNA from 1 species
CUGCUUGAGGUCUUCGGUUUGAUCUGUGGACCCAGUAACAUGAUUGUGUUCUGCAACGGCUUUGUCUUAAUGGUUGCGAUCUUCAUCAGACACAAAGCAUCAACCUAAAUUUGACUGAUAUAUGAGAACAUGCUUUUGCUAAUAAUUCAAUAUCCUUAAUUGGAUGCUCUCCCGAAAAUAUUCCAUCUUACUGCUUUCCUCCAAAACUUGGUUCUUUUGAUAGUUGGAACAUGUAGGAAUAAAUUUCAUCAAAAUCUUCCAGCGUUUCUUAUCUUGUGACUGUGAGUCUGUAACCGCCACCGAUAAUCAACACCACCAGCCUCAAG